rnacentral:rRNA from 1 species
AGAAGUAAGCAAGGGCAAACGGAGGAUGCCUUGGCUCUCGGAGGCGACGAAGGACGUGAUAAGCUGCGAAAAGCUGCGGGGAGGUGCAAAUAACCUUUGAUCCGUGGAUAUCCGAAUGGGGCAACCCGUUGAGUUGAAGACUCAACAUUCUUUUAAAAAGAAGGCGAACGUGGGGAACUGAAACAUCUCAUUACCCAUAGGAGGAGAAAAUAACAAUGAUUUCGCAAGUAGUGGCGAGCGAACGCGAAAGAGCCCAAACCUAUGUUGUUUAGGCGAUAUAGGGGUUGUAGGACUGCGAUAUAAGAUGAUGAAUUGAAUCAGAAUCGUAAUGGAAAAUUGAGCGAGACAAGGUGAAAGCCCUGUAUGAGUAAGAUUCAUUAUUUUUAGCGGUAUCCUGAGUAGCGCGGGACACGAGAAAUCCUGUGUGAAUCAGCGGGGACCAUCCCGUAAGGCUAAAUACUCCCGAGAGACCGAUAGUGGACAAGUACCGUGAGGGAAAGGUGAAAAGAACCUCGAACAGAGGAGUGAAAUAGAACCUGAAACCGUUUGCUUACAAUCAUUCAGAGCACUAUGCUAUACUCUUUAAAAUUAAUCCAGCUUGGCUUUUUAGCCCUUUUUUAUGAAACUGCGACUGCGGCAGCCGGAUCCGGCUAGCCUUGCCUUGUUUCAUAAAAAAUCAUCUAAAAAUCCUGCGCAUUUGAAAUUCUAAAUUUUGAUCUGAUAAAAUUUCAUCAUAAAUGACACAAGCAGAGCUUUAUGAUCUAAAUUUAGAGAUAACGAUUAGCGAUUAGUUUUAAUGAGUAUAGCAGUGUGAUGGACUGCCUUUUGCAUAAUGAGCCUGCGAGUUGUGGUGUCUGGCGAGGUUAAGGAAACCCGGAGCCGUAGCGAAAGCGAGUCUUAAUAGGGCGAUUAGUCAGAUGCUGCAGACCCGAAACGAUGUGAUCUAUCCAUGAGCAGGUUGAAGCCGGUGUAAGAGCCGGUGGAGGACCCAACCGACGGCCGUUGAAAAGGCUCCGGAUGACUUGUGGAUAGGGGUGAAAGGCCAAUCAAACAUCGUGAUAGCUGGUUCUCUCCGAAAUAUAUUGAGGUAUAGCGUCGUGUAGUAGUUAUAAGGGGUAGAGCACUGAAUGGGCUAGGGCAUACACCAAUGUACCAAACCCUAUCAAACUCCGAAUACUUAUAGCGUAACCACGGCAGUCAGGCGGCGAGUGAUAAAAUCCGUCGUCAAGAGGGAAACAACCCGGACUAACAGCUAAGGUCCCCAAAUCUCAUUUAAGUGGAAAACGAUGUGAAGUUACUGAAACAACCAGGAGGUUGGCUUAGAAGCAGCCAUCCUUUAAAGAAAGCGUAAUAGCUCACUGGUCUAGUGAUUUUGCGCGGAAAAUAUAACGGGGCUAAAAUGAGUACCGAAGCUUUAGAUAGUGUCUAUGAUUAUUUAUACUAGCUUGUCUCUUUGGCAUCUUUAAAUGAGCUUCAUUUUUUCUCCUGCGGCAACCUACACGGUUAGCCUUAGUCGAAAAAAUAUCAGCAACAUUUAAAUCUGCGCAAAGAUACUUCGCUUUCUGCAUUCAAAUUUGAAUGCAACGUCUUGAUCUAAAUUUUAUAAAUUUCAAAUUUCUUAGAAUUUUAAAAUUUAGCAACAAAAGCAAAAAGACAAGCCUAAGUAAAGUAUAAAUACUCAUAGACACUGUGGUAGGAGAGCGUUCCAAUCAGCGUUGAAGCCGUACCGGUAAGGAGCGGUGGAGCGGUUGGAAGUGAGCAUGCAGGCAUGAGUAGCGAUAAAAUACGUGAGAAUCGUAUUCGCCGUAAACCCAAGGUUUCCUACGCGAUGCUCGUCAUCGUAGGGUUAGUCGGGUCCUAAGCAAAGUCCGAAAGGGGUAUGCGAUGGAAAAUCGGUUAAUAUUCCGAUACCGAUAUCAGUGUGCGACGGAAGGACGCUUAAAGUUAGUGGAGCUAGCGGAUGGAAGUGCUAGUCUAAGGAAGUAGGUUGAGUUAUAGGCAAAUCCGUAACUCUUUAUCCGAGAUCUGAAAGGCUUCUGACGCUCUUCGGAGUAGAUGAAGAAUCCAUGAUACUAUCGAGCCGAGAAAAGUUUCUAAGUUUAGCUGAUAUCGCCCGUACCGUAAACCGACACAGGUGGGUGGGAUGAGUAUUCUAAGGCGCGUGGAAGAACUCUCUUCAAGGAACUCUGCAAAAUAGCACCGUAUCUUCGGUAUAAGGUGUGCCUAGCUUCGUUAAGAAUUUACUUCGUAAGCGAAGAAGGUUACAACAAAGAGUCCCUCCCGACUGUUUACCAAAAACACAGCACUCUGCUAACUCGUAAGAGGAUGUAUAGGGUGUGACGCCUGCCCGGUGCUCGAAGGUUAAUUGAUGACGUUAGCUCUGCGAAGCGUUUGAUCGAAGCCCGAGUAAACGGCGGCCGUAACUAUAACGGUCCUAAGGUAGCGAAAUUCCUUGUCGGUUAAAUACCGACCUGCAUGAAUGGCGUAACGAGAUGGGAGCUGUCUCAAAGAGGGAUCCAGUGAAAUUGUAGUGGAGGUGAAAAUUCCUCCUACCCGCGGCAAGACGGAAAGACCCCGUGGACCUUUACUAUAGCUUGACACUGCUACUUGGAUAAAGAUGCGCAGGAUAGGUGGGAGGCUUCGAUUCGUAGAUCUCGGUUUACGAUGAGCCAUUGUUGAGAUACCACUCUUCUUUAUUCGGGUAGCUAACUAGCCUAAGUUAUCCUUAGGUAGGACAAUGUCUGGUGGGUAGUUUGACUGGGGCGGUCGCCUCCCAAAAUGUAACGGAGGCUUACAAAGGUUGGCUCAAAGCGGUUGGAAAUCGCUUGUAGAGUAUAAAGGCAAAAGCCAGCUUAACUGCGAGACAUACACGUCGAGCAGAGACGAAAGUCGGUCUUAGUGAUCCGGUGGUUCUGUG